GGUUGUCCCACUGAAUGCAGCUAUUGGUUGCGCCUGAGUAGGCUCCACCUUAUUGGUGAAUUCAACCAGAUUGAAGAACUCGCAGCCGUGCAAGGCGUUCUUUGACUUCAAGUCAGCGACGUGAACGAUCAUACAGGUGAAAGUGAAUGUAUUUUCACCAGACUCGUGACGUUGGCGUACACGCACAAAGAUUAUGGUGAACCCCAGCGCCAAGCCACGCGAGGCACCAAGAAUGAAGCCGGCCUUUGAUCCGGACUGAAGUACUCCAUCGAAUAACAGAUGAACAUAUGAUGUGGUCAAUGGAGGCAUCCCCACAUGUGGAGGCUGUUCUCCGUCACAUCGAUGACCGUUGUUGGAAUCCGAAGUCGGCCAAAUUCUCUGAAGAACAAUUGAGCGAGUGAAAGGUCUCCCGAAACUAACAGAUUGGGCAACUAAGUUUUGGAGGACCUCGCAUCUGCUCUGGACUCUGGGUCAGGGUUGAGGAUGUUAAACUCAAUGAUUUUGAGUUUGUAAUUCCUACUAGAUAUUUUCCUGAUGAGAUUUUGCAUUGGGAAAUGCAAAAUUGGAUCAUCCUCUUUUAAAUGAACGGGGCAUUUGAAUGAUACAAGCUAAUUAUGCAACGUAUCCAUAGUGUUUUCUAUCCAUUUCGUUUGUUGCAAUGCACUUCAUUUAUAGAUAUAGAAAAAAAGGACACUUGAGAUGUAGCCUCUUUUUAUAUAAUUUACAUGAUUCAUAUUAAGCUGAUGUAUUCAAAUG